AGGUAAACUUCCAGUAUCCAGAUCCAAAGCGGUGGACAGUGAAAAUAACCAGAACUUGUAUGAGUGUGAUGGAAAUAAUUUCACUUUCUCUGACUUAUGAUUAGUGAAGAGGAUUUCAGGCUGGCAUCAAGUUACAUGGCCAUGUGAGGACACAGAGAAAGCACCAUCUGUGAGAAACAGGGCCUCCACUAUAUACUGAACUUGCCACCACCUUGACCUGGGACUUCCCAGUUUCCAGAACUGUGAGAAAUAAAUUUUUUAUGAUUUACCCAGUCUAAGAUAUUUUGUGACAGCAGCAGGAAUGGACUAACAUACUGGGUCUAGCAAAGAGUUCUCAAGUGCACUGCUUCUCUCCCACCACUGCCUGUUCUCACUUUCUUUCGAAGACGUGAUUAAGUUUCCACAUUUGUUUGGUCCCUCAAAAGGCAAAGAUGAAGUACAGGAGAAAUACAUGGAUCACAGGCAAGAUCCAAAGCUGGCUGCAGUCUCUGAGGCCUGAGCCUCCCGUGAAGGCUCUUGCCCCUCCUUGUUCCAUACAUCUUUCUUCUUCAUAGCAAGACACUCCCAUUAAGCCCAAAAGCCCAGAGUGCAACUCAGAUAUACAAUAUAUUACCUGUUGCAUCACUUUCUUUGAUAUAGUUUGACUCUGUGUCCGAGAUGGGGCCUGGAUGUGUUGCUUAGGCUGUGUGAAACACCUGGUCUUAAGCGAUCCUCUCACCCUGGCCUCCCAAAGCAUUGGGAUUACAUCCUUCACCAGAAGGGUGAAUAGGAGGGAGAAAAGAAUGGGAACUGUGAGGAAAAGAAUGACAUGAACAAUGGGAAGACCAAGGUCCCAGCACAAGUAGUAGAUGCUGAGGAAAGAAGAAGUAUGUUGUGGAGUAAGUGAGUGGGCCUGAGUUGAGAAGAUCCUGGCCUUGGAUUUUAAAACUGUCAGGUACACGAAUCACCUGGAGAGGCUGGUGAAAAGUAGCUCUGAGUCACUAGAUCUGGCCUCUACCCCACCGUGUUCCCAGCGGGUGCAGAUGCUGCUGGUGCCAGGACCACACGGAAUUGCAUAAAUUCGCUAGAAUCAGAAGUCAGUUGUCCUGAUCUCAGAACAAUUUGGUGUGUACAAAGUCCAAGGUUUGAAAACUCAUCAAGAAGUCAGCAUCCUGCAAGAAUCAGCCACCCAUGCCACACUUUCUAUAGUAACUUCUGUUCUGCAUCAGACUACAUCACUCUGGCUUUCUGGGAUCACUUUUAUAAUACAAAGAAUGACUGCAAUAUAAGCUUUGAAAGACUGACUCACUAAGGAAACAAGACAGGUUUGGAAAAAUGGAUCCCUUGCCAUUGACGCACUCUGGAGAACUCUUUAAAAAAUGGUAAUCUGAGAAAUUUAAUUGCCACGUAACUGUUCACAUAAAACUGAUACUAUCGAGGGCACUAUUCCAGGCCAGUGCUCUGGGAGGAAUUACCCAGAAUCCCUGUAGAAGCCACUACUGAUGUCAGCUACAAGAGGAAGGGAACCCAAGUGGACUUCAGCCAGAACAAAGCUCUGUCACAUGUUGGAAUUUUACUGAACUUGAACAAAUUAUUCUUCAGAAAAAGUAUUUUAAAGUCAAAAGACUCCUAGAUGAUUUCUAGGUCUUUUGCAGCAUUAACUUCCUUUGAAUCAAUGCCUUCAAUGAUUAUUUAAA
rnacentral:lncRNA from 10 species